UUGGGCACUCUAAAGUGACUGCCGGUGCAAGCCGGAGGAAGGUGGGGAUGACGUCAAAUCAUCAUGCCCCUUAUGACCUGGGCUACACACGUGCUACAAUGGAUAGUACAAAGGGUCGCGAAGCCGCGAGGUGGAGCUAAUCCCAUAAAACUAUUCUCAGUUCGGAUUGUAGGCUGCAACUCGCCUACAUGAAGCCGGAAUCGCUAGUAAUCGUGGAUCAGCAUGCCACGGUGAAUACGUUCCCGGGCCUUGUACACACCGCCCGUCACACCACGAGAGUUUGUAACACCCGAAGUCGGUAGGGUAACCUUUAUGGAGCCAGCCGCCGAAGGUGGGACAGAUAAUUGGGGUGAAGUCGUAACAAGGUAGCCGUAUCGGAAGGUGCGGCUGGAUCACCUCCUUU
rnacentral:rRNA from 1 species